AUGCAAGUCGAACGGAACUUUUAGUUUAGUGGCAAACGGGUGAGUAACGCGUAGGUAAUCUGCCGCAAAGAUGGGGACAACAGUUCGAAAGGACUGCUAAUACCGAAUGUUGUAAGUAAUUCGCAUGAGUAACUUACUAAAGAUUUAUCGCUUUGCGAGGAGCCUGCGUCCGAUUAGGUAGUUGGUAGGGUAAGAGCGUACCAAGCCUGCGAUCGGUAACCGGUCUGAGAGGAUGAACGGUCACAUUGGAACUGAGACACGGUCCAGACUCCUACGGGAGGCAGCAGUGGGGAAUAUUCCACAAUGGGGGGAACCCUGAUGGAGCGACGCCGCGUGAGUGAAGAAGGGCUUCGGCUCGUAAAGCUCUUUUCUCGUUGACGAAUAGGCUUAGGCAGUUGACGGUAGACGGGGAAUAAGCCACGGCUAACUACGUGCCAGCAGCCGCGGUAAUACGUAGGUGGCAAGCGUUGUCCGGAAUUAUUGGGCGUAAAGGGAGCGCAGGCGGUUUAAUAAGUCAUACUUAAAAGUGCAGGAGUAAAACUUGUGAUGGGUAUGAAACUGUUGGACUUGAGAGCAGGAGAGGCAAGCGGAAUUCCCAGUGUAGCGGUGAAAUGCGUA
rnacentral:rRNA from 1 species